rnacentral:lncRNA from 1 species
GAUUAUGUGAUUUACCAUUUCCAUUCGUUGACGUAAUUAAACAAAUUCAACGAAGAGUGAUUUACCCUUGAGGUUUUUAAGGUUUUUAUAUAACUCCUUCAUAUCAUGAUAAUUACACAAACACCUUUUCAAGUUUCAACACUCCAUGAACAGCCAAAACACUUUUAUCCAAAUCGUAAUAUACCCUCAGUUGAAUACGGUUGAAUACCAUCUCAAAUCUUACACAUUAUUGCCAAAUAGGUCUAGCCAAGUGAAUUGUCAAAAAAUAAAAAAAAUAAAAAAGCCUAUCCCAGUGGAAAAUGACUUUAAUUUGUUGACUAAUAUAGUCUGGGUUCAAAUUCCCCUGACAUCUUGGUGGUGUGUGUGUGAGAAACCCCCUUCUCAUGUAAGUUUCAACAAUCGCUUAGACUAAAAAAGGGUUAUCUACUAAAAAACACUACAAACUAUCACGCUUGUCGAAAUCUCCACCCUGAACUUGUUUUCCUGCCAGUUUAGCCU